rnacentral:rRNA from 1 species
UGGCGGACGGGUGAGUAACGCGUGAGUAACCUGCCCUUAGGAAAGGGAUAGCGUCUGGAAACGGACGGUAAUACCAUAUAAAGUAUAUUAACGGCAUCGUAGAUAUACCAAAGCUGAGGCGCCUAAGGAUGGACUCGCGUCUGAUUAGAUAGUUGGUGGGGUAACGGCCUACCAAGUCGACGAUCAGUAGCCGGACUGAGAGGUUGAACGGCCACAUUGGGACUGAGACACGGCCCAGACUCCUACGGAAGGCAGCAG